AGCAGCGUGGCUCAGUGGAAAGAGCCCGGGCUUGGGAGUCAGAGGACCUGGGUUGGAAUCCCGGUUCUGCCA
rnacentral:tRNA from 1 species